CCGCCUGUAGAAUAUAAAUGAAAAGAUUAAUUUGAUUUUACUUCAUUGAAGAAGUUACUGAUUUUGAGCUGCCUUGUUCUGCGCCAGCGGUGUCCCCCGCCGCGCUGGUCGCUGGAGGCACAGCGGCAGGCAGUCGCGCCGGCACCGGCACCGCCCCCGCCCGUGCAGGCACUCCGGGGACCCACAGACGCCGGCACAAAAAGCAGGUAUACCAAGAGAGAGGGAGAAAGGCACUAUUGGCUCUCCCUGCAGCAAAAAAAUUGGCUUGCAACACAACCUCCCUGCAUAGCUCUCCACACCCAUUCCCAGGAAGUAGGCAAAUAUAAAUGCCCAGACAAUUACAACUUGCAAGAACUGCCAGCCAGCUGCUGCUCUGUUUUUUCUCUCCACAUCUAGUGUGAUAACACCUCGGGUCUAAGACCAAAAUGAAAAUGCAGUACAUUUUUGAUACAAGCACCUGGAUAUUAAGUACUGGACAAAGCUCCAGUGGAGCUAGUCUUGCAAAGAACUCAGUGUUGAGCUCAAUAGAGACUUAUUAAUUAUACCAGUAUUGCAGCAGCAUUCCUGAAGGCAAACAAAUGAACAAGAAUACAGACAUCAGGCUAGGAUGAGUCAACAAAAAGAACUGGACAAUGCCAGAAGAAAAAUAAAAAGAAAGAUGAAAGCUGAAUGGAGAAUUGGAGAAUAACGCAAAGAAGAGUCAUGAGGAAAAAAAGUGUCAAAGAAGCGGUAAAAUUUUACUUAAUUCAGUGUCAAGUGAUGCCCUGGGUAUGUGACACAUGGACCUCUAGUGCAGAUGCACAUUCCUGAUAAUGCACAGCCUUGUAACAUUUCGUUCAUCCCAGAGAGGACUUGGGGGAAGAUAGCUGAUAGAACAUGCAUGUCCCACUGGGGAAAAACACAGAUGCUACUGAGGAGUGAGCAAGUUACUGUAAGCAAGUAAUUCAAAUUAGAACUACGUUGCCUUUUUUAGUGGGGCAGAAAUGCACCAAUGCACCAAGUUUAGUUAUGAUGUGCCAAUUUCUCUGAGCAAACUCUGGGGCUUUAAAUCAAUUUGGAGAUCUUUUUGUAUGUAACUGAAAUUUUAACUCACUGUUUCUGUCACUUAAGAGACUAGCCAGAACAAUUUCACUGAAUGUACAGUCAGAAAUUUAUUUCUGUUAUUACUGAUCAAAUUCUGUAAGAUUCCACAUGUACUUGCAUGCUUUUUAAGUUUAUAGAAUUAGAAUUCAGUUGAACUUUUUGCUAUCAAAAGGAAGCUGGAGCAGUUGGGAAUGAUGAUUUAAAAGUAAAAUUCUCUUGUAAUAUAUUUGUAAAAGACUUACUACUGGUUUUGAAAUUCUACCCUCAAAAACCAUUUUUCCUUGCUGUCAUCCUUUAAAGUCUUCCUAUGAAGACCUCUGUAUAAAAUCCUUUUAUUAGUAUUCCCAUUAACUACUAACUUAGCAGUUUCCAAAAUUUUUGUUUAGUUUUCUUUGGGCCUAAUUCCUGGUAAAUCUUACCAUUUGAUAAGCAGAAAGAAGCUUAUACAUGAUUUUGCUUUGAAUCUCCAUAAGAGGAAAUGCAUCCUUUAUUGUGACCUGCUGAACAAAUGCAGUUGAGAAAGGAAUCCAUUAAAAAAGCUGCAAAUCUCUUUUGCCACCUGGCUAAUAUGUCUACAUUCACAAAAGCAAAGAAUAAAAAUGAGAAUGCUAGAAGCGUAAUUCCAGAAGUUGGGAGUUGAGAAAGGUGGUUACAUAGAUGAAUUAUAAUCCUAGUUUGCAAAGAAAGAAACAAUAUUGGUUGUUUAGUUACCACUGUCUAUUUUUCCUUGAUAGUAGAUGAUAAAGUUGAAGAAAAAAAAAGAAGUAACAUUGAGUGGCAGCAGAUCCUAGAAAACAAAUCUAAUCUUUUAUUUAUGGAUGGAAGUUCUUAAAAACAGAACUGUGGUCAAAUGCAAGCUAAAAGACCAAUAUCCAUUUAACCACAAUUAGAUUCCUAGAAAUACUGCUUUAUGGCACUAGUGAAUUAAGAUAAUUUUGUUGUGCCCUAAAAUCACACUAAAAUUAGUACAUAUGCAAGUUCAUUUUGAUAUAUUGCAGCAACAUUUUCUGUUUAGACAACAAGAAGUCACCACAGCAGUGCAGUAGCCCUGGUUACCCUUACUAAGUCCAGUAAAACUGAAGGACUCCUCUCUUAGCUAAGUAUCAGCUAGCCAAGCUAUUGAACAUUUCUUCCAUGUUUUCAAGUCUGUCUUGCUGAGAACAUUUUUACCUUUUAAAUUUAUUGCAGAGAAGCUUGUAAAAUACAGAUCAAAACUGGAGUCAAAACAGCUAUUCUGCUUAUGUUGAAACAUCUAGGAGAUGAACUUUAACUUUUAUAUUCAAAAUAAAAAAAUGGCACUGGAGCUUUAAAACACACUUGCAUACUUCCUUGUACCUUAUCGAAAAAUUUAGUCAUGUGUACAGUCUCUCUCUCCCCCCUUUUCUUUUAACACGGAAUAAUUUUUUUUUGCAGACUCUACUAGCUGAUUCCAAGAAAGCAAAUAAAAUAGAAGGGAAGGUAAUAGUGCUAAAGAGUGUAUUUUCUAGAAAAUCCCUCUUAGUCCCUUUUUAUUUAGUAUUAGGUUUUCUGAGCUUUCCUGUGUACACAUAAAAUUGGUUGCAUUAACUUAAUGUGAGAAAGGAAAAAGUAAGUUUUUAUUCAGUCAUUAAAAUACCUGUUUCCUUUGUUAGGGUCUUAACAGAAGCUAAAGCUAAGAAAUGAAAAAUUCAAAUGUCAAUGUUUCAUCAGUUGAAGCCAAAGAGAGGACAUUAGGUCUGAAUUAUCACUCAACUAGAUUCUAGCUCAAAUUUCACCAAGACUCUGUCUCAUCCCAUUUUUAGUGGCCAGAAAAAAAAAAAAAAAAAAAAAAAAAAAAAAAAAGAAAAGAAAAAUGUUUAAAGGUACUCUUUCCAUUGCCAAAUAUUUAGAGUUUUUGCCAUUAUUUUGUAUUAUCUGGAUCAUACAACCUUUCAACUUUAUGCAUUUUAUAACUUGAAUCUUGGUUUAAAAACAAAGACAAAACUACAGGUUACAAAAGGUAUAUCUAACAACUACACAUUAAUAGCCUUACAAAACUUACUGUUAGCACCAUUUUUAACUGAUAAACUGCAAAAAGGUUUGUCUUCCUCCUCAUCUUGAAGAUGACAAAUAAUAUUUCUCAUGGUUCGAAGCUGAAAUUAGAAGAAACUGGAAAUUUUGGAAAGACUGACUAUGGAAAAAAAUUGAAAACUAGGAGAAAAUUGCAGAUUAUGGAAAACUAGUGGGUAUAUUGCCAAUAAUUACAUUUUCAAUGUAAGAUCACAGUUAAAUAGACAUUAGGGACUUCAUCUGAAAAAACAGAAAAAGAAUUUGCCUAGUUUAAUUUGAUUUUGCAAAUAUCAAAAAUAUGUGCUAUUAUAUCCAGAAAGAUUGAACAGGUAAAAUAAGUUAUAAUUACAAAGUAUUACAAAAUCUUGGAGCAAUAAUUCCUGAACUUCUGUUUAUGACCCUACUUGUAUUUCUUAUAAUUGUAUAUUAUAGAAAAGAGAUCAACGGAAUAUUACUUUAAUUUAGACCAUCUCUGAGUAAGACCUAAGGAGAACUUCUU